rnacentral:rRNA from 1 species
GUAAUGUAUGGGGAUCUGCCUGAUGGCGGGGGAUAACUACUGGAAACGGUAGCUAAUACCGCAUAAUGUCUACGGACCAAAGCGGGGGACCUCCGGGCCUCGCGCCAUCAGAUGAACCCAUAUGGGAUUAGCUAGUAGGUGAGGUAACGGCUCACCUAGGCGACGAUCCCUAGCUGGUCUGAGAGGAUGACCAGCCACACUGGGACUGAGACACGGCCCAG